GGUGACCUCACCAAGCUUCCGUGGGAUAGUUCCACACUCAUGGUCAUGCAGAUAACCCUGGAACCAAGGGAAUUUUUCUGUCAUGUUCUCUGGAGUUUUACGUAGAAGACUCUCAGACAAAUUGGCCUGCCUUAAAGAAGCUCAGACAAACCCAGCUGCCAGGAAAGUACAUGCCCCAACCUGUUGAGGUGCCUAGAGGCUGUGCAGUGUGCUCCAGGUUUCCAGCUUUGAUGGUGGCCUAAAGAUCUGUGAGUUUACUUAAGCUGCUAAGAAGAGGCAUAGUCAAGAUUUGAACGAUAACAGACAAUUACCAUUGCUCUGUUUGCAGAACAGUGUUGGGUGGGAGCACAACUAAGUCUGGCACUAAACAGAACAGCAUCCACUUCCUACUGUGGCAUCUCACUGAAAAUGUGACCUCAGAUACAGGUCACUAAAAGCAGCCCGUUCAAGGAGAUUCUGAAGCCUAGUACUGACUUAGCUUGGCCGACAUCAAGAAUUUGCCAUAUUUUGGAUUCUUUGAGGUGGACACUUGUGGCAUAGCUUCUUCUUCAGAGCAGGGAUGUUCAACAGUAGCCAAUGGUGGAAAUGGCAGCUAUCUGGUCAACAAAAUAUAACUGGGAACUGUAGUGUGAAAUACCAAGUGAGUUUUUCUCAAGAGGUUAAUCAUAUGG